CCCAGCUGGACCGAAAUGGUGGCGUGCAAAGGAUGCCUUUUAUCUCUGGAAACCCAUCCCGACUUUCAGCUGGAACUCGGGACAACAAAUAGCGAGAAAAAGAGCAGCAAGAAGGGAAAAUGAUUCCCGUUGAAAGCUCCCAUAUCCAUAAUAAUCAUUCAUCGGUGUCUCGCCGCCAUCCAUUUGAACGAAAGUGAGCGAGUGGCCUGCUAUUUUGGUGUAAUCCUGCUAAUUGCAGCAGUGAUGUGAUGACAUAACUUCCCGGGCAAAGGUUCAAAUAACUGAGCGCAGUCCCAAAGUGGGAGGGAGGUCUCAAGCUGGAUUUACUCGACAGGUCCAAUGCCAAUAGCCUUUGACUGUCUAUUUCCACGUUGAUUUCCAAGGACAUCCAUCCGAUACGUCUGUAUUCAAUUCACAUUUGGAAUCAUCACAACCAUUUUAGACCAAUGGAUUCUAUUCCAAUGAGCUUUUCUUUGAUAUUGUGCAAUUUGGGGACUUCUCAUCACUACUCUACUCUGAGACUCUCAUCUUUCAAGGAUAAAAGAAGAAGAACUUUGGACACGUUUGCAUAUGAAAACUGCAACUCAGCUUUAAUUGGACAGUUUGACCGGAAAUAGUAGCACCGGCUUAUAUGGCUAUAUCGUUAAAGAAACGUAAGCACGAUGGUCUCCGUUGCUCUUCCACGAAAAUGUCAGCUUGAUUGCAGAAUGACAUACUGUAGCUAAUGCUAGCAUGUGGCAACGUGCCCUGCCCUGCGAGAGGUUUUCGAGGUUCAGCUGUUUGGCCGGCCCGUGGAUUUGCAGAGCUGUCGUCUGGAUGCCUCCUGCCCCAGACUCCCUCGACGGUGUCCCCUUUCUUUCCCGGCAGCCUUUUAUUGGCUUCCUGUGAUCCUCAAAGGCGCUCCAUGAGCUCAUCCCUGCCACCCUGACUUCCAACCUAUGUGCUACCAUAGGAAAGAAAAAGCCUGAAGCUGCGAGACACUGCCAAAGUAUUCAUCUCAUUUCUUCUGGAAAUCACACAGCGUGCCAACCCUGACCUUCCACCCAGCAGAUGCCUGGACAUCACUCAUCUGACGUGCCUCCACCUGUCUGCGUCCGCAACUUAACACAUAUGUUAAUUCCUCUCCAGUGGAGCCAAAGCUCAAGUUCCUGAUGGUGCCAGCAGCAGCAUCCACACCCAGAACAGCUGGAAUGGGGACAGAAGCGCACAGAUGGG